GGAUGUCCAGGUUUUGUGAUUUUGUGUGU
rnacentral:piRNA from 1 species